rnacentral:rRNA from 1 species
GUGGGGAAUAUUGGACAAUGGGCGAAAGCCUGAUCCAGCCAUGCCGCGUGUGUGAAGAAGGUCUUCGGAUUGUAAAGCACUUUAAGUUGGGAGGAAGGGUAGUAACCUAAUACGUUGCUACUUUGACGUUACCGACAGAAUAAGCACCGGCUAACUUCGUGCCAGCAGCCGCGGUAAUACGAAGGGUGCAAGCGUUAAUCGGAAUUACUGGGCGUAAAGCGCGCGUAGGUGGUUCAGUAAGUUGGAAGUGAAAUCCCCGGGCUCAACCUGGGAACUGCUUUCAAAACUGCUGAGCUAGAGUACGGUAGAGGGUGGUGGAAUUUCCUGUGUAGCGGUGAAAUGCGUAGAUAUACGAAGGAACACCAGUGGCGAAGGCGACUACCUGGACUGAUACUGACACUGAGGUGCGAAAGCGUGGGGAGCAAACAGGAUUAGAAACCCUUGUAGUCC